rnacentral:rRNA from 1 species
CACGUAGGGGGCAAGCGUUGUCCGGAUUUAUUGGGCGUAAAGAGCUCGUAGGCGGCUUGUCGCGUCGGAUGUGAAAGCCCGGGGCUUAACUCCGGGUCUGCAUUCGAUACGGGCAGGCUAGAGUUCGGUAGGGGAGAUCGGAAUUCCUGGUGUAGCGGUGAAAUGCGCAGAUAUCAGGAGGAACACCGGUGGCGAAGGCGGAUCUCUGGGCCGAUACUGACGCUGAGGAGCGAAAGCGUGGGGAGCGAACAGG